rnacentral:rRNA from 1 species
ACGGAGGGUGCGAGCGUUGUCCGGAAUCAUUGGGCGUAAAGGGCGCGUAGGCGGCCACUUCAAGCGUGCGGUGAAAGUCGGGGGCUCAACCCCGGGUCGGCCGUGCGAACUGUCUUGCUUGAGCACUGUAGAGGCAGGCGGAAUUCCGGGUGUAGCGGUGGAAUGCGUAGAGAUCCGGAAGAACACCGGUGGCGAAGGCGGCCUGCUGGGCAGUGGC